UUUGAAGUCGGUGAUCCUAUGCUGCCAAGAAAAUCUUCUAGCGAGGUUCGAGCCGCCCGUACCCCAAACCGACUCAGGUGGUUAGGUAGAGAAUACCAAGGCGAUCGAGUGAAUCGUGGUUAAGGAAUUCGGCAAAAUACCCCCGUAACUUCGGGAGAAGGGGGGCCCAGAGGGUGACGGGACUUGCUCCCCGAGCCUGAACGGCCGCAGAGACCAGGGAGAAGCGACUGUUUACUAAAAACACAGGUCCGUGCCAAGUCGCAAGACGAUGUAUACGGACUGACGCCUGCCCGGUGCUGGGACGUUAAGGGGACCGGUUAGCCUCACGGCGAAGCUGAGAACUUAAGCGCCAGUAAACGGCGGUGGUAACUAUAACCAUCCUAAGGUAGCGAAAUUCCUUGUCGGGUAAGUUCCGACCUGCACGAAUGGCGUAACGAUUUCUCCACUGUCUCAACCACGAACUCGGCGAAAUUGCACUACGAGUAAAGAUGCUCGUUACGCGCAGAAGGACGGAAAGACCCCGGGACCUUUACUACAGCUUGGUAUUGGUGUUCGGUACGGCUUGUGUAGGAUAGGUGGGAGACUGUGAAGCUGACACGCCAGUGUCGGUGGAGUCAACGUUGAAAUACCACUCUGGUCGUUCUGGAUAUCUAACCUAGGUCCGUGAUCCGGAUCAGGGACAGUGCCUGGUGGGUAGUUUAACUGGGGCGGUUGCCUCCUAAAAGGUAACGGAGGCGCCCAAAGGUUCCCUCAGCCUGGUUGGCAAUCAGGUUUUUAGUGUAAGUGCACAAGGGAGCUUGACUGUGAGACUGACAAGUCGAACAGGGACGAAAGUCGGGACUAGUGAUCCGGCGGUGGCUUGUGGAAGCGCCGUCGCUCAACGGAUAAAAGGUACCCCGGGGAUAACAGGCUGAUCUUGCCCAAGAGUCCAUAUCGACGGCAUGGUUUGGCACCUCGAUGUCGGCUCGUCGCAUCCUGGGGCUGGAGUAGGUCCCAAGGGUUGGGCUGUUCGCCCAUUAAAGCGGUACGCGAGCUGGGUUUAGAACGUCGUGAGACAGUUCGGUCCCUAUCCUCUGCGCGCGCAGGAAACUUGAGAAGGGCUGUCCCUAGUACGAGAGGACCGGGAUGGACGAACCUCUGGUGUGUCAGUUGUUCUGCCAAGAGCACCGCUGAUUAGCUACGUUCGGGAGUGAUAACCGCUGAAAGCAUCUAAGCGGGAAGCAUGCUUCAAGAUGAGGUUUCCAUGGGGUUUACCCCGAGAGGCUCCCAGCUAGACUACUGGGUUGAUAGGCCGGAUGUGGAAGUGCGGUAACGCAUGGAGCUGACCGGUACUAAUAAGCCGAUAACUUGACUC
rnacentral:rRNA from 1 species